rnacentral:rRNA from 1 species
CCUGGGCUCAAAUGUAUGUUGUACGUAUUCUGAAAGGGAUACUUCUUCGGACAAUAUACAAGGUGCUGCAUGGUUGUCGUCAGCUCGUGCCGUGAGGUGUCGGGUUAAGUCCCAUAACGAGCGCAACCCCUACCUUUAGUUGCCAUCAGGUUAAGCUGGGGACUCUAAAGGAACUGCCUACGCAAGUAGUGAGGAAGGCGGGGAUGACGUCAAAUCAGCACGGCCCUUAUGUCCAGGGCGACACACGUGCUACAAUGGCCGGCACAACGGGAAGCGAGUUCGCGAGGACAAGCGGAUCCCUUAAAGCCGGUCGCAGUUCGGAUUGAAGUCUGCAACUCGACUUCAUGAAGCUGGAAUCGCUAGUAAUCGUGAAUCAGAAUGUCACGGUGAAUACGUUCCCGGGCCUU